rnacentral:rRNA from 1 species
CUUUCCUACGGGACGCAGCAGUGAGGAAUAUUGGGCAAUGGGCGCAAGCCUGACCCAGCAACGCCGCGUGAAGGAAGAAGGCUUUCGGGUUGUAAACUUCUUUUCUCAGGGACGAAGCAAGUGACGGUACCUGAGGAAUAAGCCACGGCUAACUACGUGCCAGCAGCCGCGGUAAUACGUAGGUGGCAAGCGUUAUCCGGAUUUACUGGGUGUAAAGGGCGUGUAGGCGGGGACGCAAGUCAGAUGUGAAAACCACGGGCUCAACCUGUGGCCUGCAUUUGAAACU